rnacentral:rRNA from 1 species
UACAGAGGUCUCAACCGUUGUUCGGAUUCAUUGGGCGUAAAGGGUGCGUAGGCGGCGGGGUAAGUCAGGGGUGAAAUCUCGGGGCUCAACCCCGAAACUGCACUUGAUACUGCCUCGCUUGAGUACUGGAGAGGAGACUGGAAUUUACGGUGUAGCAGUGAAAUGCGUAGAUAUCGUAAGGAAGACCAGUGGCGAAGGCGAGUCUCUGGACAGUUACUGACGCUGAGGCACGAAGGCCAGGGGAGCAAACGGG